UGUGAUCCGGAACAGGAAGUGAAGUGAAGCUCACUGAAACGGAUGGAUUUGUGCACUACAUAUCGGGGGCAACAGAAAAAAGAAAAAAAGGAGAUGGAAGGAAUGAAGAGGGAGACAUUACAGCAAAACAUGGAUACAAAUAAAGGGACCAAUAGAACUGAGGAAAAGAGUGACUAUAGUGACACGUCAAUAGUUAGUGAAUUAGAAAAGUCUCUUCAGAGUCUUGGAGCAGGAAGCACCAUUCCUAAGGCGAAAGUGUCCAGUCAAGAUACCAAUGGCUCUAAUUGUUUGAGUGCAUUGAAGUUCAACACUGGCCGCACUUCUCCAUUUACCGUUUAUGCAGCAGAUGAAGAAGAAAUCAUCAACAACCAAGGAAACACAGUACCAAGCUCUGCAGAACAAUUGAUCUCUGAUGAAAAUGCUCAGAAUAGAUUUAACAUUGGGGUGGUUAAUCAGACUGGAUCUGGUCAUAGUGUUGAAAGUGUUGGUCUCCCAGUUGACCCUGAUAAGGCAGGUAGUGGUCUCAAUGAUCACCCUGAUAAGGCAGGUUGUGGUCUCAAUGAUCACCCUGAUAAGGCAGGUUGUGGUCUCAAUGAUCACCCUGAUAAGGCAGGUUGUGGUCUCAAUGAUCACCCUGAUAAGGCAGGUUGUGGUCUCAAUGAUCACCCUGAUAAGGCAGGUUGUGGUCUCAAUGAUCACCCUGAGAAGGCAGGUUGUGGUCUCAAUGAUCACCCUGAUAAGGCAGGUUGUGGUCCUAGAGUUGACCCUGAGAAGGCUGGUUGUGGUCCUAGUGUUGACCCUGAGAAGGCUGGUUGUGGUCCUAGUGUUGACCCUGAGAAGGCAGGUUGUGGUCCUAGUGUUGACCCUGAUAAGGCAGUUUGUGGUCCUAGAGUUGACCCUGAUAAGGCGGGUAAUGGUCCUAGUGUUGACCCUGAGAAGGCAGGUUGUGGUCCUAGAGUUGACCCUGAGAAGGCAGGUUGUGGUCCUAGAGUUGACCCUGAGAAGGCAGGUUGUGGUCCUAGAGUUGACCCUGAGAAGGCUGGUUGUGGUCCUAGUGUUGACCCUGAUAAGGCAGUUUGUGGUCCUAGUGUUGACCCUGAUAAGGCGGGUAAUGGUCCUAGUGUUGACCCUGAGAAGGCAGGUUGUGGUCCUAGAGUUGACCCUGAGAAGGCAGGUUGUGGUCCUAGAGUUGACCCUGAGAAGGCAGGCUGUGGUCCUAGAGUUGACCCUGAGAAGGCUGGUUGUGGUCCUAGUGUUGACCCUCAUAAGGCAGGUUGUGGUCCUAGUGUUGACCCUCAUAAGGCAGGUUGUGGUCUCAAUGAUCACCCUGAUAAGGCAGGUUGUGGUCUCAAUAUUGAUGCCGAUAAGGCUGGCUUGGACUCCAGUGUUGACCCUGAUAAUGCGGGUUGUAUAGCUAGGGUCACUCAUUUAGCUGUCUGUGAACCAGUCACAGAUGUGACACCUGUGCUUGCUAUUUUAAACAACUCUGAAAACCUGAGUUAUGAAUACAAUGCUGUGAUAGCUGUGAGUGGUGAUUACAGAGAAUUUGUAGUAGAGCCUGUUGUUCAAGUUACACCAGGAAUGCUGUUUUUACUGAUAUUUUUACUGCUUUAUACAGAACUCAAUUGAUAGAUUUCACAAAAAUAUCAGAAUAAGUCAAGCCAUGGCUCUCAUGGAGCUUAUUUGGAGAGACAUAUUUAACCAUCUGUUGUGUUAUUGUUUUGUUUGUUUGUAAACUAUUAAGUCAGUGUCCAAAGGUGGCAUUGUGUUUGGUUUUAGUUCAUCACAUGUCACUAUGGGAAAAGGUUAUUACAAUACUGGUUAUGAUACGGUACUGGUCGGGCCAAAAUGAGCUGUCAUAUUUACGGUUAUAGUCACGCCAAAAUGACCUGUCACAUUGUAAUAUUUGUGACGAAGAAAAUGACGUGUCAUGUUGAACCUUAAGAGUGAUGUUAAUAAUAUCAUUUAAUUUAAGGUCAGCCAGCUGAGACAAAGUCUCAAGUGACCUAUUCUAAUUGCCUUUGUCUAUCAUCUUCCCUUGUCCAUCCAUAAACAAUUUACAUUUUCGACUUCUCAGAAACCCAUGAACAGGUCUCAAUUGAACUUUGCAAAAACCUCCAAAAAAACAACUUCUCCUGACCCAAAUAAGGUAGAAUCAGAUACUCUUCAUAGAGGGAAGGGCAUUAAGUGUUUUACCAAAGUUGUGAAGGGGUAAACUUAACUAUAGUUUCUAGAGGAAAAAAACAUUUUUGACUAUCAUUUGUUGAAUUUUCAUAUUUAUACAGAACUCAAUAGAUAGAUUUCAUAAAAUAUCAGAGUAAGUAAGUCAAGCCAUGGUUCUCACUCACUGCAAAUUCAGUAGUGAGCAUUACUAAUGCCCAUAUUUUUUUUUUAUUUGGACAGACAUAUUUAACCAUCUGUUGUGUUAUUGUUUUGUUUGUUUGUAAACUAUUAAGUCAGUGUCCAAAGGUGGCAUUGUGUUUGGUUUUAGUUCAUCACAUGUCACUAUGGGAAAAGGUUAUUACAAUACUGGUUAUGAUACGGUACUGGUCGGGCCAAAAUGAGCUGUCAUAUUUACGGUUAUAGUCACGCCAAAAUGACCUGUCACAUUGUAAUAUUUGUGACGAAGAAAAUGACGUGUCAUGUUGAACCUUAAGAGUGAUGUUAAUAAUAUCAUGUUAUGCCAGAUGAAUACAUUUUCAGAUUGAUCAAGUACAGUUUACAUAUUCAAAAAGAUAACAACUGUUUGACCUGUAAUAACUUAUUGGUUAUCAAUAUCUAUAAUUAUAAUGAUUGAUGUGGGUAUGAUGUCCAUGUAACCCUGGUAAAUACUAGCCGAAAUAUACCGCUCGGCUAGAGAGAUCUUCUCUUUAGCUUCAUCGGUUAGCGUAACACUAGUAAGCCAGAGGUCCCGGGUUUGAUUCCUAGCGGAGGCAGUGAUUUAGAUUCAAUUAAUCAUGAAUACUGACCCCAGGAAUUAUUAUGGUACUCGGAGGUCAAUGUGACAGGUUAGGCUGACUACACAUAUAAAUUAGUUGUGUGAAAUAGUAUAAUAACCAUCUAAACAGUGUACACCUAAUACUACAAUCAUUAAUUGUAUAAGUUCUGCUAUACAUGUUAUAAAGCUUAUCAUUAAACUAAC